rnacentral:rRNA from 1 species
UACGAAGGGGGCUAGCGUUGUUCGGAGUCACUGGGCGUAAAGCGCACGCAGGCGGAUUGAUAAGUCAGGGGUGAAAUCCCGGGGCUCAACCUCGGAAUUGCCUUUGAUACUGUCUGUCUUGAGUCCGGGAGAGGUGAGUGGAAUUCCUAGUGUAGAGGUGAAAUUCGUAGAUAUUAGGAAGAACACCGGUGGCGAAGGCGGCCCACUGGAUCGGUACUGACGCUGAGGUGCGAAAGCUAGGGGAGCAAACGGG